AUACCCAGGGUCAGUGGCUAUUUUUAGCCAUUGUUCUCCCCAGUGGGGUUAUCCUCAGAGAAUCCUUACUGCCCGGGCUCCCCUUUCAUAAGUUUCUCCGGGGUAUCUGCAUCUCCUCCCCCUGCCUCCCCCUUUCAGGUAGGUUGAAUCAUUUGCUGUUGCUUGUCUAGCUGUUUUUCAUUAACUGAGAAAACCGACUGGAGGGAUACAGUCGCUUUGAAAGAGUCAGAUAUUUACCAGAUGUCCUGGGGAGACACCGGUGCAUUUGAAAGUAGUGCUUUGUCAAACCCUGGGGGAAGUGUUAGGAAUCUCCAGGUGCCCAAGAACAGAAUAGACUGGGAAAGAGAAGAGCAGGAAUUUACAGGUUGAUCAUGGUUUUUGAGAAGGGGAAGAAUAGAAGAAAAGGGACAUGUAAGAGGGAAUGGCUGCCAAGCGAGCAGGUGCCUGGAGUCUUUGGUGAGGUGAGCCUAUAUUAAAUCACUGUUCGUGUAAUGGGGUGAGACAUCUGGCAAAAGCAAUUUAAGCAACAAAAGAUUUAUUUUGGCUCACAGUUUGAGGAGAACAGUCCAUCGUCAUAUGACAACAGGAACAUGAGGCAACUGGUGACAGUGGCCUCCGCCCCUGCCCCAUGGCCUCCACUCCUGGCUGUGACCGGCAGACAGAGCUUUAUAGAAAGGUCUCAUGGAAGCAGAUGCUGAAUGCUCAGCCCGCAUCCCCUCAAGACCGGAGAGGGAACCUAAGGUGUGUCCAGAUGGACUGUUCUCGGCCAUGAGUACUGAGAGGAGGGAUGCAGUGUUCUUCUGAGUCCACGGUGUCAACCUGCCAUGUCUCUGGUGCCUCGUCUCCUUUGUUUUCCUUUCUGCAAACACACAAAGCAGACCAGUAGAAUUAAAGACACAGAGGCCAGCAGUAAACAGAGUCAAGGAGGUUCACAUCAGAGAUCAGAAGAUGUGGCUUCCGUUCACGGUGUUUGCAGACUUAGUGCGAGAUCCUGUCUGAAAAACAAGGUGGAUGACUUCUGAGAAAGGAUGACUUGCCUUCCAAGCGGCUGAAUUCAUGGCAGAAGAAACAUCCAGGGAGCACCUGCAGUUUGCAAGACACCUGGACAGAGCACAGACUCCCCCAGGCCUCUCUGAGCCUUGGCACUGACUGCAGAGUAAGACUCAGGGAGAGAUUCGUGCAAGUACUAAAGACCAGUUCUGACAGACGUUGCCUUAGUGGCCUUCUUUCAGCCAGGAAUUGCCUGUUUGCUGUUUGAGUCCCAGAGCGGCCCUUGCUCACUAGGGCUUCUCAUUCUCCCUUCCUGAGGGUAUUUUCUGUGUGGCUUAGAAUAAAGAUUGGACUAUGUAGAUGUUACCA
rnacentral:lncRNA from 1 species